GUGGGUUUCAUCGUGUGAAGUACAAGGGAUACACAAUUAUAGAGGGUUGGGAACUAAGGAUUGUGCAGUCUGUACUUAGUAAAACCCCAAGCUAAAUAUGGGGUUCUAGUUUGAAUGCAGCGCAUAAAAGAGUAGAAAUUAAAGCUGCCUAGAUCAUAUAACUAUCCUGCACUUGCAAAGGUAGUCAUAAGACUAUGGAGAGCUGGCGGAUGCUUCUUCCCAUCUCAUAUCUAUUUUGUUCACAGACCAUGCAACUUGCCUCCAAAACAAAACAUUUGCCUAGAAGUAUUAGUUUUGAUCUUUUGAAAUUCUAGCCUGCAAGUUUCUUCAGAAACCAAAAUGAUGAAAAUGGCUCAUAUUCGUAAUAUGCGUGUCAAUUUGUAAACCUGGGCAGUCCUACAAGGCAGGGACACUUCCAAGCAGUUUCGGAGGCCAUCAACUCUUUUGUUAAUGGUUCUCUGAAGAUACUGAUCAACCUUUAUAAGCCCGUGACCUCCAUACUUCUUCUCAUCAGUGUUUAGUAUGAUUUGAUACUCUCCUGCUUCUUCUACACCUACACUGUAUCUUUCAUAUGCAUUGGUUGGAUGAAAAUUGAAUACAAAGAGAAGAGGACCUCUUGUGUAAGAUAUUACCAUGGAAGUAUCAUUCACAUGGUGAAUGCUUGGCAAA
rnacentral:misc_RNA from 1 species